ACACGACCGUACCGCAAACCGACACUGGUGCGCGAGAUGAGUAUUCUAAGGCGCUUGAGAGAACUCAGGAGAAGGAACUCGGCAAAUUGACACCGUAACUUCGGAAGAAGGUGUGCCUUUAGUAGGUGAAGUCCCUCGCGGAUGGAGCCCAAUGAGGUUGCAAAAAAUCGGUGGCUGCGACUGUUUAUUAAAAACACAGCACUCUGCAAACACGAAAGUGGACGUAUAGGGUGUGACGCCUGCCCGGUGCUGGAAGAUUAAAUGAUGGGGUGCAAGCUCUUGAUUGAAGUCCCAGUAAACGGCGGCCGUAACAAUAACGGUCCUAAGGUAGCGAAAUUCCUUGUCGGGUAAGUUCCGACCUGCACGAAUGGCGUAACGAUGGCCACACUGUCUCCUCCUGAGACUCAGCGAAGUUGAAAUGUUUGUGAUGAUGCAAUCUCCCCGCGGAAAGACGGAAAGACCCCAUGAACCUUUACUGUAGCUUUGUAUUGGACUUUGAACAGAUCUGUGUAGGAUAGGUGGGAGGCUUUGAAGCAGGGUCGCUAGAUCUUGUGGAGCCAACGUUGAAAUACCACCCUGGUGUGUUUGAGGUUCUAACCUAGGCCCGUAAUCCGGGUUGGGGACAGUGCAUGGUAGGCAGUUUGACUGGGGCGGUCUCCUCCCAAAGUGUAACGGAGGAGUUCGAAGGUACGCUAGUUACGGUCGGACAUCGUGACGAUAGUGCAAUGGCAUAAGCGUGCUUAACUGCGAGACUGACAAGUCGAGCAGAUGCGAAAGCAGGACAUAGUGAUCCGGUGGUUCUGUAUGGAAGGGCCAUCGCUCAACGGAUAAAAGGUACUCUGGGGAUAACAGGCUGAUACCGCCCAAGAGUUCAUAUCGACGGCGGUGUUUGGCACCUCGAUGUCGGCUCAUCUCAUCCUGGGGCUGUAGCCGGUCCCAAGGGUAUGGCUGUUCGCCAUUUAAAGAGGUACGUGAGCUGGGUUUAAAACGUCGUGAGACAGUUUGGUCCCUAUCUUCCGUGGGCGCUGCAGAUUUGAGGAAGCCUGCUCCUAGUACGAGAGGACCGGAGUGGACGCACCUCUGGUGUAUCGGUUGUCACGCCAGUGGCAUUGCCGAGUAGCUAUGUGCGGAAGAGAUAACCGCUGAAAGCAUCUAAGCGGGAAACUCGUUUCAAGAUGAGAUCUGCCGGGGCCUUGAGCCCCCUGAAGAGUCGUUCAAGACCAGGACGUUGAUAGGUCGGGUGUGGAAGCGCAGUAAUGCGUUAAGCUAACCGAUACUAAUUGCUCGUGCGGCUUGACC
rnacentral:rRNA from 1 species